rnacentral:rRNA from 6 species
AAAUUGAAGAGUUUGAUCAUGGCUCAGAUUGAACGCUGGCGGCAGGCCUAACACAUGCAAGUCGAACGGUAACAGGAAGCAGCUUGCUGCUUUGCUGACGAGUGGCGGACGGGUGAGUAAUGUCUGGGAAACUGCCUGAUGGAGGGGGAUAACUACUGGAAACGGUGGCUAAUACCGCAUAACGUCGCAAGACCAAAGAGGGGGACCUUCGGGCCUCUUGCCAUCAGAUGUGCCCAGAUGGGAUUAGCUUGUUGGUGAGGUAACGGCUCACCAAGGCGACGAUCCCUAGCUGGUCUGAGAGGAUGACCAGCCACACUGGAACUGAGACACGGUCCAGACUCCUACGGGAGGCAGCAGUGGGGAAUAUUGCACAAUGGGCGCAAGCCUGAUGCAGCCAUGCCGCGUGUAUGAAGAAGGCCUUCGGGUUGUAAAGUACUUUCAGCGGGGAGGAAGGUGUUGUGGUUAAUAACCACAGCAAUUGACGUUACCCGCAGAAGAAGCACCGGCUAACUCCGUGCCAGCAGCCGCGGUAAUACGGAGGGUGCAAGCGUUAAUCGGAAUUACUGGGCGUAAAGCGCACGCAGGCGGUCUGUCAAGUCGGAUGUGAAAUCCCCGGGCUCAACCUGGGAACUGCAUUCGAAACUGGCAGGCUUGAGUCUUGUAGAGGGGGGUAGAAUUCCAGGUGUAGCGGUGAAAUGCGUAGAGAUCUGGAGGAAUACCGGUGGCGAAGGCGGCCCCCUGGACAAAGACUGACGCUCAGGUGCGAAAGCGUGGGGAGCAAACAGGAUUAGAUACCCUGGUAGUCCACGCCGUAAACGAUGUCUACUUGGAGGUUGUGCCCUUGAGGCGUGGCUUCCGGAGCUAACGCGUUAAGUAGACCGCCUGGGGAGUACGGCCGCAAGGUUAAAACUCAAAUGAAUUGACGGGGGCCCGCACAAGCGGUGGAGCAUGUGGUUUAAUUCGAUGCAACGCGAAGAACCUUACCUGGUCUUGACAUCCACAGAACUUUCCAGAGAUGGAUUGGUGCCUUCGGGAACUGUGAGACAGGUGCUGCAUGGCUGUCGUCAGCUCGUGUUGUGAAAUGUUGGGUUAAGUCCCGCAACGAGCGCAACCCUUAUCCUUUGUUGCCAGCGGUCCGGCCGGGAACUCAAAGGAGACUGCCAGUGAUAAACUGGAGGAAGGUGGGGAUGACGUCAAGUCAUCAUGGCCCUUACGACCAGGGCUACACACGUGCUACAAUGGCGCAUACAAAGAGAAGCGACCUCGCGAGAGCAAGCGGACCUCAUAAAGUGCGUCGUAGUCCGGAUUGGAGUCUGCAACUCGACUCCAUGAAGUCGGAAUCGCUAGUAAUCGUGGAUCAGAAUGCCACGGUGAAUACGUUCCCGGGCCUUGUACACACCGCCCGUCACACCAUGGGAGUGGGUUGCAAAAGAAGUAGGUAGCUUAACCUUCGGGAGGGCGCUUACCACUUUGUGAUUCAUGACUGGGGUGAAGUCGUAACAAGGUAACCGUAGGGGAACCUGCGGUUGGAUCACCUCCUUA